rnacentral:rRNA from 1 species
UACGGAGGGUGCAAGCGUUAUCCGGAUUCACUGGGUUUAAAGGGUGCGUAGGUGGGCAGGUAAGUCCGUGGUGAAAUCUCUGAGCUUAACUCAGAAACUGCCGUGGAUACUAUUUGUCUUGAAUGUUGUGGAGGUGAGCGGAAUAUGUCAUGUAGCGGUGAAAUGCUUAGAUAUGACAUAGAACACCAAUUGCGAAGGCAGCUCACUACACAAUUAUUGACACUGAGGCACGAAAGCGUGGGGAUCAAACAGG